ensembl:lncRNA
GGGGGGUGGGGAGGGUGUAAGGUUUGUAGCAGGUGGUUCCCAUUCUAAAGGAAAGUAGUUUCCUCCUACGCCAUUAUUUGAAGUGAUGUGUUGUUAAAACUGGCCCUGCACGGACCUUUAGACUUGUCAGAGAAACAGGAAGAAAGUCUUCCUCCAGGGGAGGGGCUAGACUGGAAAGUUCCACAGAAGGUGCAUGGUUUGGAUAGCUUUUCAUAACUGGAAGGAAGGUAGAUGUUGAUUUAGCGUGGGGAAGACUGCUGAGCUCCCCCACAGGGUGGCAAGAAAAGGAGCCCCUGUGUCCCCAGAGACAUUCAGCAGUGGCUUGUCAAAAACGUGGAAGAGCAGCGUUAAUAUUGAGCUCCUAGUGUGUGCCAGGCGCUCUCUAUAUACAUCCUUUGAUGUGUUGCCCCAUUAACACUUGGAGAGCUGAGGCUGAGAGAGGUAAACUUGUCCAAGGCUGAGUGGCUGCUAGAAAACACAGGUCUGUGGAGCCUAAAGGCAGAGGUUUUCCCAUCCAUCACGCCGUCUUCCCAUCGCGGAGAUUCACUCAAGCUUUCCUGGGCAUUUGUGCGCCGCGACGUUCUCCUCCAGCACCCGGAUGAGAUCAGGUGGUGGUGCGCUUUGGAGGAGAGGUGAAGGUGCCCCUUGGGAACAGGAUGCACCUGGGUGGAGCAUUGUUGCGGAUCGUGGCGACAUCUCCGGCCCAAGUCCCUUCUUCCCCGGGGGCUGGGUCUCUUGAGCCGCCUCACCAGGAUCCUUCCAGCUUCUCUAGGCGGCUCUACUGGCCAUUUGCCUGGCAGUGGAGGAGGAGGAGGGUGGAGGAUGCCUAAUAUGACGAAAUACUGCCAGAUGACACCAGAAUGGCUGCACCAGUCUACUCUCCCACCAGCAAAGAAGGAGGGUUUCUAUAUUCCCACAAUCCUCUCAACACUAAUUGUUCAGUUUAUUUUGAUUUUUUUUUUUUUGCCUGUUUAACAGGCUUGUUGUUAUAUUUUCCUAAUAGUCAAUGACACUGAAUAUCCUUUAUAUAUUACCUUCCAUUGGGCUUUGAGGUCUCCUCUUCUGUAAAUUGCCUGUUUCCAGGAAAUUAUCUGUGAUGGUUUUAAAAUAUGUUGACAAACUCUUCGAUACUCCCUUCUUUAAGAAGUGGGGCUGCCUCCCCCAGCCCUGUGUGUCCACUGGACUUACUAAGUUGAGCAAUGUCCCUUCUCUUCCUAGUUUGCAAAGAGCUUUUAUCAUCAUCAAC